rnacentral:rRNA from 1 species
AGAGUUUGAUCCUGGCUCAGAUUGAACGCUGGCGGCAGGCUUAACACAUGCAAGUCGAGCGGGGGAGAUUGCUUCGGUAAUUGACCUAGCGGCGGACGGGUGAGUAAUACUUAGGAAUCUGCCUAUUAAUGGGGGACAACAUCUCGAAAGGGAUGCUAAUACCGCAUACGCCCUACGGGGGAAAGCAGGGGAUCACUUGUGACCUUGCGUUAAUAGAUGAGCCUAAGUCGGAUUAGCUAGUUGGUGGGGUAAAGGCCUACCAAGGCGACGAUCAGUAGCGGGUCUGAGAGGAUGAUCCGCCACACUGGGACUGAGACACGGCCCAGACUCCUACGGGAGGCAGCAGUGGGGAAUUUUGGACAAUGGGGGCAACCCUGAUCCAGCCAUUCCGCGUGAGUGAAGAAGGCCUUCGGGUUGUAAAGCUCUUUCAGCAGGAACGAAACGGUACGCACUAAUAUUGUGUGCUAAUGACGGUACCUGCAGAAGAAGCACCGGCUAACUACGUGCCAGCAGCCGCGGUAAUA